rnacentral:rRNA from 1 species
GAACGCCCCGCAAGGGGAGUGGCAGACGGGUGAGUAACGCGUGGGAACAUACCCUUUCCUGCGGAAUAGCUCCGGGAAACUGGAAUUAAUACCGCAUACGCCCUACGGGGGAAAGAUUUAUCGGGGAAGGAUUGGCCCGCGUUGGAUUAGCUAGUUGGUGGGGUAAAGGCCUACCAAGGCGACGAUCCAUAGCUGGUCUGAGAGGAUGAUCAGCCACAUUGGGACUGAGACACGGCCCAAACUCC